CAAAGGAGCAAUCCGCUGAAAGAUGGGCUCGCGUCCGAUUAGGUAGUUGGCGGGGCAACGGCCCACCAAGCCGACGAUCGGUAGCCGGACUGAGAGGUUGAACGGCCACAUUGGGACUGAGACACGGCCCAGACUCCUACGGGAGGCAGCAGUGAGGGAUAUUGGUCAAUGGGGGAAACCCUGAACCAGCAACGCCGCGUGAGGGAAGACGGUUUUCGGAUUGUAAACCUCUGUCCUCUGUGAAGAUGAUGACGGUAGCAGAGGAGGAAGCUCCGGCUAACUACGUGCCAGCAGCCGCGGUAAUACGUAGGGAGCAAGCGUUGUCCGGAUUUACUGGGUGUAAAGGGUGCGUAGGCGGCUUUGCAAGUCAGAAGUGAAAUCCAUGGGCUUAACCCAUGAACUGCUUUUGAAACUGCAGAGCUUGAGUGGAGUAGAGGUAGGCGGAAUUCCCGGUGUAGCGGUGAAAUGCGUAGAGAUCGGGAGGAACACCAGUGGCGAAGGCGGCCUGCUGGGCUCUAACUGACGCUGAGGCACGAAAGCGUGGGCAGCAAACAGGAUUAGAUACCCUGGUAGUCCACGCUGUAAACGAUGAUUACUAGGUGUGGGUGGACUGACCCCAUCC
rnacentral:rRNA from 1 species